GAGGAACCUGUCCUGUAAUCGACAACCCCCGUGAAUUUAACCURGAUUUGUAUUAUCAGCUUGUAUAUCGCUGUCGUAAGAUUAUUUUUUGAGAAAUUUUUCAAUAAUAAAUUUUUAWUUAUGUCAAGUCAAGGUGCAGUAAAUGUUUAGGGUUGAGAUGGGUUACAAUAUGGGAAUAUAUACGGAAAUGUUUUUGUAAUGUUUAUUGAAGGUGGAUUUAAUUGUAAUAUGAAAUUAGUUAUUUUAUAUGGAAAAGUACUAAUAUAUGC
rnacentral:rRNA from 1 species